GAUGAAGAACGUAGCGAAAUGCGAUAAGUAAUGUGAAUUACAGAAUUCAGUGAAUCAUCGAAUCUUUGAACGCACAUUGCGCCCGGCAGUACUCUGCCGGGCAUGCCUGUUCGAGCGUCAUUUCAACCCUCAAGCCCUGCUUGGUGUUGGGGCCCCACGGCUGCCGUGGGCCCUGAAAGGAAGUGGCGGGCUCGCUACAACUCCGAGCGUAGUAAUUCAUUAUCUCGCUUAGGGCGUUGGGCGGCGCUCCAGCCGUUAAAGAACCAUCUUUAACUCAAGGUUGACCUCGGAUCAGGUAGGAAUACCCGCUGAACUUAAGCAUAUCAAUAAGCGGAGGA
rnacentral:misc_RNA from 1 species